CAUCAUCAUGCAGCUAAAAACAUCCAGGGGUACAGUGGAGAAAGUGCUGCAGUCGUUAUUCAGCGACGAGUUGGUGUGGCUGUACAACUUCGAUGGAAAGGCUGGGAAAAAGCCACUGAUUAAAUUAAAAACUGUGGAGCUAGUUCUCGAUAUCAGAAUCUAACUGGUUGCAUCCACAAUAAUAAUUUUACCAUUUUAUUUUAAUUUCUGAUUGCUGUGCAAAAGACGUGUUAGAGCAUCAGCAGCUACGUUUAUAAAAAAUAUAUAUUUUAAUAUAUAAAUUACUUAUUUUUAGCUAUUUAAAUUUUUUUAAUUUUUCGUUUAGAUUGUAUAUAUCGGAGUCAUUGGAUAAUGAAGGUCUUCAACAUGUUGGAUGAAAGGGCAAGGGACAGUCUGACAAAGCAUCCUUAGAAAUGUCUCGAUUCAGACGAGCGGAAACUCAUCAAAUUGCAAUUUAAUCUAACUGAGGAUGAGGAAAAUUACGAAUGUUUGCAAGCGCCAGAUGAGAUAAUUGUUUUAGACACUACUGCUGCAUCAAGCCAGUCACAAGACAUAACGCUACAAGCGCCACUAUCGAAUUCCGAAAAUUUGGUUACACAUGAUGUCAAUGUGUUAUUCUCGAGCGGCUCCAUGGAUAUAAGUAAUUUAUGCAACUGGCCGCUAGAAGCUACACAUAGUCAAAGUCUAUAUAUAAGUCGAAAAAAAGCAAUCAAAUUUUGCAAAGUUGUAAUGAAACUGAAUUUUUUUGAAC